AACGAGAAAGUGGAGCAAUCCAUGAGUACAGUGGCGACCGGGUGAGUAACACGUGACUACCUACCCUUGAGUGGGGGAUAACCUCGGGAAACCGAGGCUAAUACCGCAUAAUAUCGAAAGAUCAAAGGAGUAAUCCGCUUUUGGAGGGGGUCGCGGCUGAUUAGCUAGUUGGUAGGGUAAUGGCCUACCAAGGCGAAGAUCGGUAUCCGGCCUGAGAGGGCGCACGGACACACUGGAACUGAAACACGGUCCAGACUCCUACGGGAGGCAGCAGUGGGGAAUUUUGCGCAAUGGGGGAAACCCUGACGCAGCAACGCCGCGUGGAGGAUGAAGUCCCUUGGGACGUAAACUCCUUUCGAUCGGGACGAUUAUGACGGUACCGGAAGAAGAAGCCCCGGCUAACUUCGUGCCAGCAGCCGCGGUAAUACGAGGGGGGCAAGCGUUGUUCGGAAUUAUUGGGCGUAAAGGGCGCGUAGGCGGUCGGACAUGUCUUGUGUGAAAUCUUCGGGCUCAACUCGAAGUCUGCACAGGAAACUAUCUGGCUUGAGUGUGGGAGAGGUGAGUGGAAUUCCUGGUGUAGCGGUGAAAUGCGUAGAUAUCAGGAGGAACACCUGUGGCGAAAGCGGCUCACUGGACCACAACUGACGCUGAGGCGCGAAAGCUAGGGGAGCAAACAGGAUUAGAUACCCUGGUAGUCCUAGCCCUAAACGAUGAUCGCUUGGGUGUGACGGGUACCCAAUCCCGCCGUGCCGAAGCUAACGCGU
rnacentral:rRNA from 1 species